CUUUUUAGAUUUUUUUCAGAUGGAGACAUCCAGUAUGGUUUUCCGUAAAGGGAGACCAGCGAGGCCCAGAGAGAGAGGCACGGGCUGAGUUAGAUGGAGACAUCCAGUAUGGUUUUCCGUAAAGGGAGACCAGCGAGGCCCAGAGAGAGAGGCACGGGCUGAGUUAGAUGGAGACAUCCAGUAUGGUUUUCCGUAAAGGGAGACCAGCGAGGCCCAGAGAGAGAGGCACGGGCUGAGUUAGAUGGAGACAUCCAGUAUGGUUUUCCGUAAAGGGAGACCAGCGAGGCCCAGAGAGAGAGGCACGGGCUGAGUUAGAUGGAGACAUCCAGUAUGGUUUUCCGUAAAGGGAGACCAGCGAGGCCCAGAGAGAGAGGCACGGGCUGAGUUAGAUGGAGACAUCCAGUAUGGUUUUCCGUAAAGGGAGACCAGCGAGGCCCAGAGAGAGAGGCACGGGCUGAGUUAGAUGGAGACAUCCAGUAUGGUUUUCCGUAAAGGGAGACCAGCGAGGCCCAGAGAGAGAGGCACGGGCUGAGUUAGAUGGAGACAUCCAGUAUGGUUUUCCGUAAAGGGAGACCAGCGAGGCCCAGAGAGAGAGGCACGGGCUGAGUUAGAUGGAGACAUCCAGUAUGGUUUUCCGUAAAGGGAGACCAGCGAGGCCCAGAGAGAGAGGCACGGGCUGAGUUAGGUAAGUAUAGAUCCCAGACCCAAUGCCCAAAGG